GUCGGGCGUGGUGGUGUGUGCCUGUAGUCCCAGCUACUCAGGAGGCUGAGGUGGGAGGAUCGCUUGAGCCCAGGAGUUCUGGGCUGUAGUGCGCUAUGCCGAUUCGGUGUCCACACUAAGUUUGGCAUCAAUAUAGUUACCUCCCGGGAGCAGGGGACCACCAGGUUGCCUAAGGAGGGGUGAACCGGCCCAGGUUAGAAAUGGAGCAGGUCAAAACUCCCAUGCUGAUCGGUAGUGGAAUCGCAUCUGUGAAUAGCCACUGCAGUCCAGCCUGGGCAACAUAGCGAGACCCCAUCUCU
rnacentral:SRP_RNA from 1 species